rnacentral:rRNA from 1 species
UACGUAGGUGGCGAGCGUUGUCCGGAAUUACUGGGUGUAAAGGGCGUGUAGGCGGGUAAUCAAGUCAGAUGUGAAAUACCGAGGCUUAACCUCGGGGCUGCAUUUGAAACUGAAUAUCUUGAGUGCAGGAGAGGAAAGCGGAAUUCCUAGUGUAGCGGUGAAAUGCGUAGAUAUUAGGAGGAACACCAGUGGCGAAGGCGGCUUUCUGGACUGUAACUGACGCUGAGGCGCGAAAGCAUGGGGAGCAAAC